rnacentral:rRNA from 1 species
GACUAACGCUGGCGGCGUGCUUAACACAUGCAAGUCGAACGGAAAGGCCCUGCUUUUGUGGGGUGCUCGAGUGGCGAACGGGUGAGUAACACGUGAGUAACCUGCCCUUGACUUUGGGAUAACUUCAGGAAACUGGGGCUAAUACCGGAUAGGAGCUCCUGCUGCAUGGUGGGGGUUGGAAAGUUUCGGCGGUUGGGGAUGGACUCGCGGCUUAUCAGCUUGUUGGUGGGGUAGUGGCUUACCAAGGCUUUGACGGGUAGCCGGCCUGAGAGGGUGACCGGCCACAUUGGGACUGAGAUACGGCCCAGACUCCUACGGGAGGCAGCAGUGGGGAAUAUUGCACAAUGGGCGGAAGCCUGAUGCAGCAACGCCGCGUGCGGGAUGACGGCCUUCGGGUUGUAAACCGCUUUCGCCUGUGACGAAGCGUGAGUGACGGUAAUGGGUAAAGAAGCACCGGCUAACUACGU